rnacentral:rRNA from 1 species
CCUACGGGAGACAGCAGUGAGGAAUAGUGGUCAAUGGGCGCGAGCCUGAACCAGCCAAGUAGCGUGAAGGAUGACGGCCCUACGGGUUGUAAACUUCUUUUAUAAAGGAAUAAAGUGAGGCACGUGUGCCUUUUUGUAUGUACUUUAUGAAUAAGGAUCGGCUAACGCCGUGCCAGCAGCCGCGGUAAUACGGAGGAUCCGAGCGUUAUCCGGAUUUAUUGGGUUUAAAGGGAGCGUAGAUGGGUUGUUAAGUCAGUUGUGAAAGUUUGCGGCUCAACCGUACAAUUGCAAUUUAUACUGGCAGCCUUGAGUCCAGUUGAGGUAGGCGGAAUUCGUGGUGUAGCGGUGCAAUGCUUCGCUAUCACGAAGAACUCCGAUUGCGAAGGCAGCCUACUAAACUGCCACUGACAUUGAUGCUC